GAGGGUAUAGCUCAGUGGUAGAGUGCAUGCUUAGCAUGCAUGAGGUCCUGGGUUCAAUCCCCAGUACCCCCA
rnacentral:tRNA from 1 species